rnacentral:misc_RNA from 1 species
GGAAGUAAAAGUCGUAACAAGAUUUCCGUAGGUGAACCUGCGGAAGGAUCAUUAAUGAGUUGUCAUGGGGUUCGAUGCUGGCAGCCAGUUUUUGGAUGCAUGUGCUUGCCCUAACAAUCAUCUUCUUCCAAACACCUGUGCACAUUUUUGAGGGAGUCUUGAGUUGGUUGCCGCUCUUGGGUGAUUUUCUCACAUUCCCUUAAAUCAUUAUACGCUAUUAACAAUGUUGAACGUGCUCUGUGCCGCAAGGCCAUUAAUAUAAUACAACUUUUAACAACGGAUCUCUUGGCCCUC